CCUACGGGCGGCAGCAGUGAGGAAUAUUGGUCAAUGGACGCAAGUCUGAACCAGCCAUGCCGCGUGCAGGAUGACUGCUCUAUGAGUUGUAAACUUCUUUUGUACAGGGAUAAACUGAGAUACGUGUAUCUUUCUGUAUGUACUUUAUGAAUAAGGAUCGGCUAACUCCGUGCCAGCAGCCGCGGUAAUACGGAGGAUCCAAGCGUUAUCCGGAUUUAUUGGGUUUAAAGGGUGCGUAGGUGGGUUGUUAAGUUAGUGGUGAAAUGUCGCGGCUUAACGGUAAAAUUGCAUUUGAUACUGGUAGUCUAGAGAGUAGAUGAGGUAGGCGGAAUGUGUGGUGUAGCGGUGAAAUGCUUAGAGAUCACAAAGAACACCGAUUGCGAAGGCAGCUUACCAAUCUACCUCUGACGUUGAGGCACGAAAGCGUGGGGAGCAAACAGGAUUAGAUACCCCUGUAGUC
rnacentral:rRNA from 1 species